UACGUAGGGGGCAAGCGUUGUCCGGAUUUACUGGGCGUAAAGAGCGUGUAGGCGGCCACGCAGGUCCGUUGUGAAAACUGGAGGCUCAACCUUCAGACGUCGACGGAAACCGUAUGGCUAGAGUCCGGAAGAGGAGAGUGGAAUUCCUGGUGUAGCGGUGAAAUGCGCAGAUAUCAGGAAGAACACCAAUGGCGAAGGCAGCUCUCUGGGACGGUACUGACGCUGAGACGCGAAAGCGUGGGGAGCAAACAGG
rnacentral:rRNA from 1 species